UUCGGUCCCCGUUCUUAUUACGAAUUAAACAUCCUGCUUAGAUUUCUAAUAUUUGUUGUCAGUUUCUGACACCGGAUUUCUCUGUGUUUCAGUUUUUCCCUUUUGGUUUCUGGGUUGUUUGUCUCGCUCUGUCUCUGACUUUCCCUUUCUCUCUCCCUUUGUAGUGUCAAACAUGGACAAAGAACAGCGGCGUAGCAGCCCUGCAUACCGCUGGGAGUCUUCCUGUCAGACUUCAAGCUGGGUGUCGCCAUCACGUCUGCGUCCACCUGAGGUAGGAUCCCAUUAUGAGCUUAAUGACACCCAGCAGAACAUCAGGCGCGGAGGCAGCACGCGCUCUCUGCAGCUGGACUACAGGGUGAUGGGCUACAGCGCGGACAAAAGCCGUGAGAGGACACAUGAAACUGGGAGGAGGACCUUUCAGUGGGAGAGGAAUCAGUCUGGAGAGUGGGAGAGAAAACACACCCCGGACAGAAAAGAAAAGAGAAGGUACAAGGAGGAAGGAAGGAAUAUGAACAUUAGGACCAAGGACAUGGAGGGACACCAGGACCAUGGAGAUCAGCAGCAGCAGCUGCAGGACCAAGACAGCUGUGACGACAGCUCCUCGCCCGUGUAUGAAGAAUACCAAGAGUCCAGCCAUGAUCUGGAACAAAAUGAAGACACAGAGAGCCUUUAUGAUACUCUACCCCCAACUCGGCGAGCCUAUGAAGGAUAUCCGUCCAGUCCCCCGGGGCUAAACCUGCACCCAGCUCAACUUAUGCCCCCCCUCAGGGCUUGGGACUUACAGACAGAGGAAUGGAGGGGAUCACGGGAAGACCAUGGAGGGCUUGGCUCUAAUAGUCUGGCAGGUUCUGGGGAUGAGUUAGAAAGACUACUGAACCUGGUGUCACUGAGAGCCAGGAGAGCCACACGAAUAAACAGAGCCUCUACCAGAUCUGAACCUGCAGCAGGCUGGGAUGGGCUGAAAUGAGCUCACGCUCAAGACUCAUUAAAACAAACAGAUUUUCUGUUCCUUUGCAAAUCACAGAGUGGCGGUGAUCCUCUCUGGUUACAGUUCACAUUUAUAAUCUACUCGAACAUUGGUCCACCACCUAAAAAAAAUAAUUGGACAAGAAUAUUAACAUACACACUUUUAUUAUCCGACAUUAUUAUCCUUGUGUAAACAAGCACUAAUCCACCACCAAUCCCCUGGCUCAUUUAUAAGCGGGAGGAAUAAGAGGAAAUAUACAUGUCUCUUCACACCUUCACCUGUGCUGCGAUUGGCUCUGAAUCAGUGCUUUUACAUGUAUUAUUUAGACUCACUGAAGCAGAACAUUUGGAGCUUGUUUUAGAUCGCGUACCCCUGUAUGUGCAAAUUUUCAAAUCAUGUAUUUCGUUCAUCGCUGUGUCGGAUCGCACAUGUACUGGCACACAAUUAUUUUGUUAACUCAGCCGUGCAAUACUUAAUGCAUUUAUUAUUUUUUACUGACACGCGCUCAGGUUUGUUUUGCAGGGAGCUUUUCGCUCGCAUCCCACACAGAGACUGAGAGUAUUAAGAUUACCUGAGGUUGAUACCGGGACAUCUUUUACACAAUCAUUUAAUUUUCCUAUGUGGAUUUAUUUAUUUAUUCAUAUUUGUAGCUUUGCUUAUGAGUUUCUUCAUGAGCACAUGCGUUAUAGUUACCUGGCCUGUGUAGAUAUGAUUAAAUACAACACUAAGGAUAUAUUUUUUUAUUUACUCAAUCGGCUGUUCUAAGUGUGUAGAAGGACACAGAGCUACUUAUUAGAACACAUUAAUUUAAUCAAAAUGUACAUAAUGUAAUUUGAAUAUAUUGAAGCUUUAGCAGUGCUUCAGGGAGACUGAAGCCCGCUUUACACCUGGUGUUAACAUGUGAAAUGAAUUUCGGGGCAUUAUGUGCUGAACGGCUUAGAGAAUUGUGUGGACAUGCAACCGUGAAGUACAGAAUCACUCACCCAGGACAUGUGCUCAUGGUUGGCUCGCUGAUAACGCAGUGUAAAUGCUGCUGCAUUCCCAGUUCACACACAACAAAGGGAAUGCAAAUGAAAAUAAACUCCAUGUAACGACGCUUCGAAACAGCGCUGUUCUCUGAGAAUAUUCCUAGUUGACUCCUUGCUGGCUAGGAGUAAUUACAGAUAAACAUAUUCAUAGUAGCUGUUCGGGUCAUUUGUGGAUUUUUAAAAAAAGGCACACCACGUGCACAAAAAUGCACACACCUCUUCCCAUGCACAAACUGGUAUUUGUAAAGGAAGAAUGUGUGGACCGUGUUCAUGCUUCAGACCGUGACAGACCAUCGUGAGGCAAGCCCGACAGAAUGGAGAGAAGAUGAAAAAUGAACCGAGACAGAAGUGAAGAAAAACAGCCAAUUUGGCUGAGCUUGCAUUCCCUGUUAUCAAUAUAUAUAUUUCCAGCUCAUAAACACAUCAUCAGUAACUUAGCCUCUGCACACCGCCACAGUGGAUUUUAAAUCAACCAGUCAACCUGUGAUUGAAGUGCAGACUUUAAGCUUUAGUUCAAGGGAUUUAACAAAAAUGUGCCAUUAAUAUUGUUUAGGAAUCACUGCCAUUUUUAUAGACAAUCGCCUAUGUAGUUGGGUGGUUGACUGACAAGCAGUUUUAUGAGACCUGUUUCCUGUUUAUUUCAUUCAGUUCUAGAUCUUUUAUCUCCCUGGAGAUGUUCUGUCUGUGAUGGUGUACAGAAGCAAACACUGAAACAUUGUCCAAAUACUUAUGGACCUACAGUAAAUGUAUAUGUACAUUUACAAAUUUCACUGCACAUUGUUAUGUAUGCUAGACUUGAUCAGACCUCCUUUUCAUGUUCUCCUUGUUCUUUCUCUUCUUCGUCAUCUUUCUCUUAUUAUUGUUAUUGUUUACGGUGUAAUAAUUGUGGGUGCUAGCUGUAUAUGAUGGCCUGCUUUCCUCCUGUGAUCUGAUGUACUUUUUGCCUCUUGUUUGCAGUCUCCAGUUUUUUUUUCUGUCUCUUUUGUUUUUACUUCUGCCAGGAUCCUCUGCCCUGAACUUCUAGAGGUGAAAGCUUUUUUUCUCCCAUCACUAGUUUCUCUUAUGGUCGUGAUUCCAGAACUGAGAUCACCAAAUACACAUUUUAAUUACUCCACUACUCAUAUUAGUGUCUCAGUCUCAGAUUUGGGGAAAUUGCACUUCUUCUUUGCUGUGUUUUUUUCAUUGUCAUGUCUAAUCACUGCUGGAUUUAUAUGCAAAUGAGGAAUAAGGGAGGAUUUACAUCCAUUCAUUAUGAAAGCUCUAAGUGGAAAUCACGCACAUGCAUAAAGUUUCGCUUUGAUUGAGAUUUAUAAAAGAGCACCAUGCGUAGGCACGGCUUUACAAAUAUGAGUAAAGGAAAAUAGAUUCACUCGUAAAUCUGCAUAAACUUUUAUGCAUCUGGCUCCUGUCAGAACUAAAGGCCACCUUCAUGUCACAGUUACCACGCUCAUCAUCUCAUCUGGUAAACAUGCCUUUGAGAAAAUGCUCAGCAAACAAUAUAUGUACAUCAAAUUGAAGGACAGAGUAGAUGCUACAAAGUAAAUGCAAGCCGUCUAUGUCUCUAAGUAUGUAGUGAGAAUUCAAGGCCACACUUUUGUGUUAAAUUAGCGCAUUUGUUGUUGCAAAAGUGGUUUUCAUUGAGUUGAAAGAUACUGUGCCGAUGGACUCUUUGGAAAUACCGUAACAUCCAGCAGUAACAGACACAUACCAGUUGACAUGUCUUAUUGUGAUCAGGUUUAGUUUCACCUAAUGUAUUUUGUGUCUCAUAAUAACAGCGUCCAUCUAUUCAUCCUCUCUAUCCAAUUCCUAUUCAGAUGUACUCUGUAUUUGGGGCGCUGAAGCGUGCCACAGCUUGCACAAAGAAACAUACCGGACAGGUCAGUCUACAACAUGGAUAAACACAUUCACACCUGUGGGCACUUUACAGUUUCCAGUUCACCGGGCCUGCAUGUCUGCAGACUGUGGAGGGAAGGAAACCCACAGGAAUACCGUGAGAGCAUUCAAACUCAAUACAACAGCUUCCACAGGCAGGGGUUUGCAACCCACAACCUCAGUGCUGUGAAUCAACGCUGCUAACAACUGAGACAUUUUUGCUGUCAUGUUUUUAUUCUUUAUUGCCAUCCACUGCAGUUGAAUCAUCUCUCAAACUACCAUUCAUUCCUACAGGAUUAAAAGUUAUUUCAGGUCACUCACAUGCUGAAGCGCAGCGCUGCAUGGGUGUUUGAGUGGCUGCGCAUUAACAAGACUUGAAGAAUGUUCCCCAAUCAAGGAGAUUCACGUUUUAUCGGGAAUGAGAGAACGAGAACGGCAUUUGCCCUCGGGGCGAAUGUGUAAUGGGUGUGUUAUAGCAGGUUAGCUAGAUUUCAACCUAGACUAUGUGAGAUAAAUAAUCCCCAUAAAAUAUUUAAUCCUAUCAAGUCAGUCUUGUCAUGCCUCUUAUGUUUUUCUUUCCCUCCCCACCGGAAUCUGGCAGAUUCAUUUAGCGGAGCUUAAAGUUGUCAAUGUCCUGGGAAGACAUGAAGGCAUAAUAAUGUCUCCUGAAAAUGUAAAGUGCACAAAGUGUUUGAUCAGUUAAACAAUAAAUUUCAUUCUGAAAUCAUCAGAGGUGAUUUGAAAAGGCUGUUAGGAUCUUGGCUUAGAUUCUCUUGCCUGUAUACACUGUCAACAGUUGAGCAGAUUUCAGCAUAAUCUUCGCAUUAUGCCUUUUUGUUUACCUCAGGAAGUGAAUUAUAUGCUGACUUGAAUAAAUGUAUCCGGCUUAUUGUGUGGUACUCUUUGUUCCUGGGAGUUUAUUUCCAU
rnacentral:lncRNA from 1 species